rnacentral:rRNA from 1 species
UACAGAGGUCUCAAGCGUUGUUCGGAUUCAUUGGGCGUAAAGAGCUCGUAGGCGGUUCGUCACGUCGGCUGUGAAAUCCCGAGGCUCAACCUCGGGUCUGCAGUCGAUACGGGCGGACUUGAGUACUGCAGGGGAGACUGGAAUUCCUGGUGUAGCGGUGGAAUGCGCAGAUAUCAGGAGGAACACCGGUGGCGAAGGCGGGUCUCUGGGCAGUAACUGACGCUGAGGAGCGAAAGCGUGGGGAGCGAACAGG